UUUUUAAAGUUCUAAAUGGCCAAAUUCAGUUUCACAAUAGAGUCUCUCUCAGCCAAUGAAAAGCCUUAGUUUUAUAAAGCUACUCUCAACAGCCAAUCACACACUUCCAUUCUGCACUGUAGUUCUCACCAGGCAACCAGACCUCAGAAUUCUGUAACAGAACCUUCACUAGUCUAUCCCAAGACUCCAGCUCCUCUCAGAAAGGCAGCCAGCCAAUUACAUCCUAGCCUCUUUCCCCGAUUCUCUCCUAGCACAACUCUACCUUGUAUAGCUGCUGAUAAAGCUGUUCAAAGCGAUCGUGCCCUAGCCGGAGAACAUCCAGAUCCUCUCGUAGCUGUGCAUUCAUAGCAAGCUGAGAACCAAAUUCUGCAGAGGCCUAGAAACAGAAGGUAGACUGAGAAAAUAGAAACAAGCCUAGAGCCCCAGCUCUCAGCUCCCCUGGACACUCACAACCAUCUUUUACCCUGUCCAGCUGGUUCUCCAUUGUCUGUAUCCUACGUUGCAACUGAACCUUUUGUUCUUGGAUCAAGGUCCCACUGCCCACCACCUGUUUUCGGCCAUCCGAACGCUUCUGCCAGUUCUCUCCUUGCAGAGAGAUAUACAAAAUCCAGACUCUCAGCAAAUUCAGAAAUGGAAAUUGAAGAGAUCAGGGUAAAAGGACAUGUACCAGAGAGUUUCAACACAACCCCACCUUUGUUCCAAGAAAGAUGGCUAGAAGAUACCACCUUCCAGUGAAAUGAAGAAGAGGGCACCAGAUUCUCACCAAACUGGUGCAAUUGAAAAUUAAAGAUCCACAGAAAAUCUGUCAAGACAUGAGCUAGGACAGCUGUUUCUGCAUUCCUAAUCCAGACAGCCCAGAUGUGUUGAGUGCCUGAGCCUGUGCCGAGUCCAGCAGCCAGGGCAGCAGUCAGCAGCAGACGGCAGGAAUGGCAGAAGAGGAGCAUAGGCUGUGCUGCCCACACACACCUGGGUUUUUGACAUUCACAGUGGAGGCAGCCAAGGAGACACAGGAAAUUACCAAGGCCUUCUAAGUCCACCUCACUGCUGUCUGAGCGGACGCUUGCAGCAGAUUUGUAGAAGGGCAUCUUCAGUCUCUUCCUGCAGAUAGAAAGAAUGAGACAACAAAGAGACCACUGUCUUUCAGGCUUAGAACAGGUACAUAUGCCUUGUCUGUACAACAAACCUCUGAGGAAGAUCAUUAUUAGUCCCAUUUUACAGAUGAAGAACUGAGGCAAAAUCACAGGAACUUCUUCAAGAAAGUGCCAUUUCUCAGUAAUUAAAGCUUGUUCAAAACUGAAGUGAAUAUACAGUAAACUGCUGGUUUUGGAGCUCA